rnacentral:rRNA from 1 species
GAUGAACGCUGACAGAAUGCUUAACACAUGCAAGUCGAUGGGGAAGUGGUGCUUGCACCAUGGUAACCAUGGCGGACGGGUGAGUAACGCGUAAGGAACUUGCCUGCGGGACCGGGAUAACAGCAGGAAACUGCUGACAAGACCGGAUAAGGUCAUGAAGCUGCAUAGCUUAGUGAUGAAAGGAGACGCCUGCGGAGAGCCUUGCGUCCUAUUAGCUAGUUGGAGGGGUAACGGCCCACCAAGGCGAAGAUAGGUAGCCGGCCUGAGAGGGUGGACGGCCACAAGGGGACUGAGAUACGGCCCUUACUCCUACGGGAGGCAGCAGUGGGGAAUAUUGGACAAUGGGGGCAACCCUGAUCCAGCAAUUCUGUGUGCACGAAGACGGUUUUCGGAUUGUAAAGUGCUUUCAGCAGGGAAGAAGUAGGGACGGUACCUGCAGAAGAAGCG